AGUGAACGCUGGCGGUAGGCCUAACACAUGCAAGUCGAACGGCAGCACAGGAGAGCUUGCUCUCUGGGUGGCGAGUGGCGGACGGGUGAGGAAUACAUCGGAAUCUACUUUUUCGUGGGGGAUAACGUAGGGAAACUUACGCUAAUACCGCGUACGACCUACGGGUGAAAGCAGGGGACCUUCUGGCCUGGCGCGAUUGAAUGAGCCGAUGUCGGAUUAGCUAGUUGGCGGGGUAAAGGCCCACCAAGGCGACGAUCCGUAGCUGGUCUGAGAGGAUGAUCAGCCACACUGGAACUGAGACACGGUCCAGACUCCUACGGGAGGCAGCAGUGGGGAAUAUUGGACAAUGGGCGCAAGCCUGAUCCAGCCAUACCGCGUGGGUGAAGAAGGCCUUCGGGUUGUAAAGCCCUUUUGUUGGGAAAGAAAUCCAGCUGGCUAAUACCCGGUUGGGAUGACGGUACCCAAAGAAUAAGCACCGGCUAACUUCGUGCCAGCCGCCGCCGUAA
rnacentral:rRNA from 1 species